rnacentral:rRNA from 1 species
AUGAAAGUUCUUUUCCCGCAAAAAAAAAAAAGAAUCAUUGGCCAGCAGCCUCGAAUCAUCAGCAUGGCGUCUGCCGCCCGUCGUCCCACGGUGCUCCUGCAGAUCGCUCUCUUCGUCGUCAUCGCGGCGGUCAUCAUCAACAGCUCCGUCUGCCUUGGGGCCGUUGUAGUAGGUCCUGGUACUCUCGACCCUAACCGCCCCGCUUUCCCGUCGCCGGGUGGUGGUGGUAAACCCUACACCGGCGGCGGCCGUGGGUGCCGCACAAUUUAUGGAUGUGGUGAUGUGCCACCGGCAGGUGGCCAACCCUGA